UUAAGCGACUAAGCGUACACGGUGGAUGCCCUGGCAGUCAGAGGCGAUGAAGGACGUGCUAAUCUGCGAAAAGCGUCGGUAAGGUGAUAUGAACCGUUAUAACCGGCGAUGUCCGAAUGGGGAAACCCAGUGUGAUUCGUCACACUAUCGUUAACUGAAUACAUAGGUUAACGAGGCGAACCGGGGGAACUGAAACAUCUAAGUACCCCGAGGAAAAGAAAUCAACCGAGAUUCCCCAGUAGCGGCGAGCGAACGGGGAGCAGCCCAGAGUCUGAAUCAGCUUGUGUGUUAGUGGAACGGUCUGGAAAGUCCGACGGUACAGGGUGAUAGUCCCGUACACCAAAAUGCACAGGUUGUGAACUCGAAGAGUAGGGCGGGACACGUGGUAUCCUGUCUGAAUAUGGGGGGACCAUCCUCCAAGGCUAAAUACUCCUGACUGACCGAUAGUGAACCAGUACCGUGAGGGAAAGGCGAAAAGAACCCCGGCGAGGGGAGUGAAAAAGAACCUGAAACCGUGUACGUACAAGCAGUGGGAGCACCUUCGGGUGUGACUGCGUACCUUUUGUAUAAUGGGUCAGCGACUUAUAUUCUGUAGCAAGGUUAACCGUAUAGGGGAGCCGCAGGGAAACCGAGUCUUAACUGGGCGUUAAGUUGCAGGGUAUAGACCCGAAACCCGGUGAUCUAGCCAUGGGCAGGUUGAAGGUUGGGUAACACUAACUGGAGGACCGAACCGACUAAUGUUGAAAAAUUAGCGGAUGACUUGUGGCUGGGGGUGAAAGGCCAAUCAAACCGGGAGAUAGCUGGUUCUCCCCGAAAGCUAUUUAGGUAGCGCCUCGUGAACUCAUCUUCGGGGGUAGAGCACUGUUUCGGCUAGGGGGUCAUCCCGACUUACCAACCCGAUGCAAACUACGAAUACCGAAGAAUGUUAUCACGGGAGACACACGGCGGGUGCUAACGUCCGUCGUGAAGAGGGAAACAACCCAGACCGCCAGCUAAGGUCCCAAAGUCAUGGUUAAGUGGGAAACGAUGUGGGAAGGCACAGACAGCCAGGAUGUUGGCUUAGAAGCAGCCAUCAUUUAAAGAAAGCGUAAUAGCUCACUGGUCGAGUCGGCCUGCGCGGAAGAUGUAACGGGGCUAAACCAUGCACCGAAGCUGCGGCAGCGACACUAUGUGUUGUUGGGUAGGGGAGCGUUCUGUAAGCCUGCGAAGGUGUGCUGUGAGGCAUGCUGGAGGUAUCAGAAGUGCGAAUGCUGACAUAAGUAACGAUAAAGCGGGUGAAAAGCCCGCUCGCCGGAAGACCAAGGGUUCCUGUCCAACGUUAAUCGGGGCAGGGUGAGUCGACCCCUAAGGCGAGGCCGAAAGGCGUAGUCGAUGGGAAACAGGUUAAUAUUCCUGUACUUGGUGUUACUGCGAAGGGGGGACGGAGAAGGCUAUGUUAGCCGGGCGACGGUUGUCCCGGUUUAAGCAUGUAGGCUGAUUGUCCAGGCAAAUCCGGAUAAUCAAGGCUGAGGUGUGAUGACGAGGCACUACGGUGCUGAAGUAACAAAUGCCCUGCUUCCAGGAAAAGCCUCUAAGCAUCAGGUAACAUCAAAUCGUACCCCAAACCGACACAGGUGGUCAGGUAGAGAAUACCAAGGCGCUUGAGAGAACUCGGGUGAAGGAACUAGGCAAAAUGGUGCCGUAACUUCGGGAGAAGGCACGCUGGUGUGUAGGUGAAGUCCCUGCGGAUGGAGCUGAGACCAGUCGAAGAUACCAGCUGGCUGCAACUGUUUAUUAAAAACACAGCACUGUGCAAACACGAAAGUGGACGUAUACGGUGUGACGCCUGCCCGGUGCCGGAAGGUUAAUUGAUGGGGUUAUCCGUAAGGAGAAGCUCUUGAUCGAAGCCCCGGUAAACGGCGGCCGUAACUAUAACGGUCCUAAGGUAGCGAAAUUCCUUGUCGGGUAAGUUCCGACCUGCACGAAUGGCGUAAUGAUGGCUAGGCUGUCUCCACCCGAGACUCAGUGAAAUUGAACUCGCUGUGAAGAUGCAGUGUACCCGCGGCAAGACGGAAAGACCCCGUGAACCUUUACUAUAGCUUGACACUGAACAUUGAGCCUUGAUGUGUAGGAUAGGUGGGAGGCUUUGAAGCGUGGACGCCAGUCUGCGUGGAGCCAACCUUGAAAUACCACCCUUUAAUGUUUGAUGUUCUAACGUUGGCCCCUUACCGGGGUUGCGGACAGUGUCUGGUGGGUAGUUUGACUGGGGCGGUCUCCUCCCAAAGCGUAACGGAGGAGCACGAAGGUUAGCUAAUCCUGGUCGGACAUCAGGAGGUUAGUGCAAUGGCAUAAGCUAGCUUGACUGCGAGCGUGACGGCGCGAGCAGGUGCGAAAGCAGGUCAUAGUGAUCCGGUGGUUCUGAAUGGAAGGGCCAUCGCUCAACGGAUAAAAGGUACUCCGGGGAUAACAGGCUGAUACCGCCCAAGAGUUCAUAUCGACGGCGGUGUUUGGCACCUCGAUGUCGGCUCAUCACAUCCUGGGGCUGAAGUAGGUCCCAAGGGUAUGGCUGUUCGCCAUUUAAAGUGGUACGCGAGCUGGGUUUAGAACGUCGUGAGACAGUUCGGUCCCUAUCUGCCGUGGGCGCUGGAGAAUUGAGGGGGGCUGCUCCUAGUACGAGAGGACCGGAGUGGACGCAUCACUGGUGUUCGGGUUGUCAUGCCAAUGGCACUGCCCGGUAGCUAAAUGCGGAAGAGAUAAGUGCUGAAAGCAUCUAAGCACGAAACUUGCCCCGAGAUGAGUUCUCCCUGAGACUUUAAGUCUCCUGAAGGAACGUUGAAGACGACGACGUUGAUAGGCCGGGUGUGUAAGCGCAGCGAUGCGUUGAGCUAACCGGUACUAAUGAACCGUGAGGCUUAACCUU
rnacentral:rRNA from 1 species